rnacentral:rRNA from 1 species
ACUCCUACGGGAGGCAGCAGUGGGGAAUUGUUCACAAUGGGCGCAAGCCUGAUGACGCAACGCCGCGUGGGGGAUGAAGGUCUUCGGAUCGUAAACCCCUGUCGAAUGGGACGAAAGACUCGCGAAUUAAUACAUCGCGAGAGUGACGGUACCGUUAAAGGAAGCCACGGCUAACUCUGUGCCAGCAGCCGCGGUAAU